rnacentral:rRNA from 1 species
UACGUAGGGCGCAAGCGUUGUCCGGAAUUAUUGGGCGUAAAGAGCUCGUAGGCGGCCUGUUACGUCUGCUGUGAAAUCCCGGGGCUUAACCCCGGGCGUGCAGUGGAUACGGGCAGGCUGGAGGCAGGCAGGGGAGAACGGAAUUCCCGGUGUAGCGGUGAAAUGCGCAGAUAUCGGGAGGAACACCGGUGGCGAAGGCGGUUAGCUGGGCAGUUGCUGACACUGAGGCGCGACAGCGUGGGGAGCAAAAGGG